rnacentral:rRNA from 1 species
UACGUAGGCAGCAAGCGUUGUUCGGAGUUACUGGGCGUAAAGAGUGCGUAGGCGGUGCUCUAAGUUUGGUGUGAAAUCUCCCGCUUAACUGGGAGGGUGCGCCGAAAACUGGAGUGCUUGAGUAUGGGAGAGGCAAGCGGAAUUCCUGGUGUAGCGGUGAAAUGCGUAGAUAUCGGGAGGAACACCUGUGGCGAAGGCGGCCCCCUGGUUGGAUACUGACGCUGAUACGCGAAAGCGUGGGGAGCAAACAGG